AAUUAAAUUAAAAAAUUACUCACUCUUAACCAUCUCUCACUCUUUCUCACUCUACCUCUCUCUCUCUUUCUCUCUAGCGCUCUCUUUCUCUCUCUUUCCACUCUCUCUCCCUCCCAUUUUUCUUUCUCUCAUCCGGCUAUAGCUGCGCGGCGGACUGGACCGCGGCGGUGGCAGGAGGUGCCGCACCAGACGAUGUAAAUCUCGCGGCGAUAGAGAGCGUCGGAGAUGACGACGAUGUAGCCAAUCCAGGACCGAUCCGACCUUGUAUGGCGGCGUCACGACGGCUCUGAGAGCUCCAAUCGAAAUCCAACAACAAGGUCUGUGUUAAUUGCUACUAGCAGGAUUCACGAUCUGAUUUGACGAUUUAGGAUUCAUGAUCUGAUUUUAGCCCUGCCAGAACUCUGUGAAAAUAGUGGUGGCUGCAAUUUCGCUUUUGAGGGAAAGCGUGGGUAUAAACCCACAAAUUGAGGGAUGAGAAGGUGAGCAGGUGUGAAAUGGUGACAUUCUGCAAUAAGCUUGAAGAUUUCACUCCUCUGAUUUGCAACUCUUUGCCGCCGUUCGUCGCCGUUUGACGCCAUGAAACUGUUGUUCGCGCCUCCUACACAUGUCGAGAUCGUUCGCACCUCUAGCCGGCCAACGAAUCGCUACCGUUCCCUCUCGCCGCCAACCGCCUAGGGCUUUAUCUGCCGCUCUCCCACAUUUUAUUUCAGAAAAUAUUUACUUGAUUUAUCAAUAGAUCUAAUCUGUUGCAUCUUAAAUUUUUGUGUGCAUAUAAUUAUGUGAAUUAUAUGCUAUGUGAUUAGAGUAUAAUGAUAAUAAGUUAUAUUAUGCUUUUG